CUUGUUAGUUGCCAUCAUUCAGUUGGGCACUCUAGCGAGACUGCCGGUAAUAAACCGGAGGAAGGUGGGGAUGACGUCAAAUCAUCAUGCCCCUUAUGACCUGGGCUACACACGUGCUACAAUGGUUGGUACAACGAGUUGCGAGUCGGUGACGGCGAGCUAAUCUCUUAAAGCCAAUCUCAGUUCGGAUUGUAGGCUGCAACUCGCCUACAUGAAGUCGGAAUCGCUAGUAAUCGCGGAUCAGCAUGCCGCGGUGAAUACGUUCCCGGGCCUU
rnacentral:rRNA from 1 species